GCUUUCGUGGUGUAGUGGUCAGCAAACUUGAAGCGUAAUCAAAAGGUUCGUGGUUCGAUUCCCGGUGAAGGCG
rnacentral:tRNA from 1 species